CCUACGGGUGGCAGCAGUGAGGAAUAUUGGUCAAUGGGCGAGAGCCUGAACCAGCCAAGCCGCGUGAGUGAGUACUGCCCUAUGUGUUGUAAACCUCUUUUGUCGGGGAGCAAAAGCCGGACGUGUCCGUCUGUGAGCCUACCCCAAGAAAAAGCAUCGGCUAACUCCGUGCCAGCAGCCGCGGUAAUACUGGGGAUGCGAGCGUUUACCGGAUUUAUUGGGUUUAAGGGGUGCGCAGGCGGAUUUCUAAGUCAGCGGUAAAAUCGUGGGGCUCAACCCCAUCGUGCCGUGGAAACUGGGGAUCUAGAGUGCGCGAGAGGUAGGCGGAAUGCGUGGUGUAGCGGUGAAAUGCAUAGAUAUCACGAAGAACCCCGAUGGCGAAGGCAGCAUACCGGUGCACAACUGACGCUGAGGCACGAAAGCGUGGGUAUCGAACAGGAUUAGAUACCCCAGUAGUC
rnacentral:rRNA from 1 species